GGAGUUACAAAGGACGACAUUAGACGAAUCAUCUGGAAAGAUGAAUCAAAGAAGGUAAUAAUCCUGUAGUCGAAAAUGUUGUCUCUCUUGAGUGGAUCCUGAGUACGACGGAGCACGUGAAAUUCCGUCGGAAUCUGGGAGGACCAUCUCCUAAGGCUAAAUACUCUCUAGUGACCGAUAGUGAACCAGUACCGUGAGGGAAAGGUGAAAAGCACCCCGGAAGGGGAGUGAAAUAGAACCUGAAACCGUGUGCUUACAAGUAGUCAGAGCCCGUUAAUGGGUGAUGGCGUGCCUUUUGUAGAAUGAACCGGCGAGUUACGAUUUGAUGCAAGGUUAAGCAGUAAAUGUGGAGCCGUAGCGAAAGCGAGUCUGAAUAGGGCGUUUAGUAUUUGGUCGUAGACCCGAAACCAGGUGAUCUACCCUUGGUCAGGUUGAAGUUCAGGUAACACUGAAUGGAGGACCGAACCGACUUACGUUGAAAAGUGAGCGGAUGAACUGAGGGUAGCGGAGAAAUUCCAAUCGAACCUGGAGAUAGCUGGUUCUCUCCGAAAUAGCUUUAGGGCUAGCCUCAAGUGAUGAUUAUUGGAGGUAGAGCACUGUUUGGACGAGGGGCCCCUCUCGGGUUACCGAAUUCAGACAAACUCCGAAUGCCAAUUAAUUUAACUUGGGAGUCAGAACAUGGGUGAUAAGGUCCGUGUUCGAAAGGGAAACAGCCCAGACCACCAGCUAAGGUCCCAAAAUAUAUGUUAAGUGGAAAAGGAUGUGGCGUUGCCCAGACAACUAGGAUGUUGGCUUAGAAGCAGCCAUCAUUUAAAGAGUGCGUAAUAGCUCACUAGUCGAGUGACACUGCGCCGAAAAUGUACCGGGGCUAAACAUAUUACCGAAGCUGUGGAUUGUCCUUUGGACAAUGGUAGGAGAGCGUUCUAAGGGCGUUGAAGCAUGAUCGUAAGGACAUGUGGAGCGCUUAGAAGUGAGAAUGCCGGUGUGAGUAGCGAAAGACGGGUGAGAAUCCCGUCCACCGAUUGACUAAGGUUUCCAGAGGAAGGCUCGUCCGCUCUGGGUUAGUCGGGUCCUAAGCUGAGGCCGACAGGCGUAGGCGAUGGAUAACAGGUUGAUAUUCCUGUACCACCUAUAAUCGUUUUAAUCGAUGGGGGGACGCAGUAGGAUAGGCGAAGCGUGCGAUUGGAUUGCACGUCUAAGCAGUAAGGCUGAGUAUUAGGC
rnacentral:rRNA from 1 species